rnacentral:rRNA from 2 species
CUGGUGAGUAACACGUGGGAAACCUGCCCAGAAGCGGGGGAUAACACCUGGAAACAGAUGCUAAUACCGCAUAACAACUUGGACCGCAUGGUCCGAGUUUGAAAGAUGGCUUCGGCUAUCACUUUUGGAUGGUCCCGCGGCGUAUUAGCUAGAUGGUGGGGUAACGGCUCACCAUGGCAAUGAUACGUAGCCGACCUGAGAGGGUAAUCGGCCACAUUGGGACUGAGACACGGCCCAAACUCCUACGGGAGGCAGCAGUAGGGAAUCUUCCACAAUGGACGAAAGUCUGAUGGAGCAACGCCGCGUGAGUGAAGAAGGGUUUCGGCUCGUAAAACUCUGUUGUUAAAGAAGAACAUAUCUGAGAGUAACUGUUCAGGUAUUGACGGUAUUUAACCAGAAAGCCACGGCUAACUACGUGCCAGCAGCCGCGGUAAUACGUAGGUGGCAAGCGUUGUCCGGAUUUAUUGGGCGUAAAGCGAGCGCAGGCGGUUUUUUAAGUCUGAUGUGAAAGCCUUCGGCUCAACCGAAGAAGUGCAUCGGAAACUGGGAAACUUGAGUGCAGAAGAGGACAGUGGAACUCCAUGUGUAGCGGUGAAAUGCGUAGAUAUAUGGAAGAACACCAGUGGCGAAGGCGGCUGUCUGGUCUGUAACUGACGCUGAGGCUCGAAAGUAUGGGUAGCAAACAGGAUUAGAUACCCUGGUAGUCCAUACCGUAAACGAUGAAUGCUAAGUGUUGGAGGGUUUCCGCCCUUCAGUGCUGCAGCUAACGCAUUAAGCAUUCCGCCUGGGGAGUACGGCCGCAAGGCUGAAACUCAAAGGAAUUGACGGGGCCCGCACAAGCGGUGGAGCAUGUGGUUUAAUUCGAAGCUACGCGAAGAACCUUACCAGUCUUGACAUACUAUGCAAUCUAA